CCAGGCUUCAGCUGAAAUAGGAAAGCCGACUGUCCAGGAGGACGCUCAGGCCCACAGCUGGGGACCCCAAGAACAGCCAGCCCCUGUCGAGCAGCAAGGCUGCUGCGUGGAGCCCCAGCUGCCUCGAGGGGCCGCACCGCGCAGCUGUGUUGGUAGCCUGAGCAGCAGGCGGCAGGCACUGACCCUGGCUCCUCACUCUGCUAUUCCUGCCCCAAGUCACCGUCUCGAAGGGCAGGCGCGCCCUGUGACAGAGGCCUCCUGCAGCAGGCCACCCUGCACGGAGAGAUGGUGCCUGCGGGGGCCUUCAGAGGAAGGCUUUUCCUGGAACCAGUAAUAUGAUCCGUUGGAGACAUUUGGAAAAUAUGAAGAAUAUUUCCAGAACCAUCCAUAACUCUAGGCCUGAGAUUCUGCUGUGUUUCCUGUCUGUUGUACCACUGUCUCACGUCUUGGUUUCUGGCCAUGUCGAGGGAGAGUUCCAGGCAUGCAGUGCCUUUGCAAGACGAAAAUGCAGAUUCCAAGGCACCCCCAGACGAGCUGGAGGACCGGGUGCCCUGGAGCCACCCUGGGGCCACCCGCUUCCGUCGUGGCGUGGGCCCCAUCCCCAGCUCCAUCUGGUCCUCGCCACGGAGGCCUCUGGCAGUCAGCACAGGGGCAGCCUCCCACAGAGCCCUGAAGGACCAGGGUGACAAAAGGCCUCUCAGCAGAGUUGUUGUGAAGCAGCGAAGCCCCAUGGUAAAGGGCUCACGAGGCUUCAGACCACACAGGUGAGCCCCCUACAGGUGAGCCUCACACGAGUGAGACCCACACAGGUGAGCCCCACACGGAUGAGCCUCACACGGAUGAGCCCCACACGGGUGAGCCCCACACGACUGAGCCCCACACGACUGAGCCCCACACGGGUGAGCCCCACACGACUGAGCCCCACACGACUGAGCCCCACACGGGUGAGCCCCACACAGGUGAGCCCUCCACAGGUGAAUCCCACAUGAGUGAGCUCUACAUAGGUGAGCCCCACACAGGUGAGCUCCACACAGGUGAGCUGCACACGAGUGAGACCUCCACAGGUGAGCCCUUCACAGGUGAGCCCCACAUGGGUGAGCCCCACACGUCAGCCCUCCACAGGUGAGCCCCACACAGGUGAG
rnacentral:lncRNA from 1 species